AUUGAACGCUGGCGGCAGGCCUAACACAUGCAAGUCGAGCGGAGCGGCGGACGGGUGAGUAAUGCCUAGGAAUCUGCCUGGUAGUGGGGGAUAACGUCCGGAAACGGGCGCUAACACCGCAUACUAUCAGCCGAGCCUGGGGCGGAUUAGCUAGUUGGUGGGGUAAAGGCCUACCAAGGCGACGAUCCGUACCUGGUUUGAGAGGAUGAUCAGUCAAACUGGAACGUAGACACGGUCCAGACUCCUACGGGAGGCAGCAGUGGGGAAUAUUGGACAAUGGGCGAAAGCCUGAUCCAGCCAUGCCGCGUGUGUGAAGAAGGUCUUCGGAUUGUAAAGCACUUUAAGUUGGGAGGCGUUACCAACAGAAUAAGCACCGGCUAACUUCGUGCCAGCCGCCGCGGUAAUAC
rnacentral:rRNA from 1 species